GUGGGGAAUCUUAGACAAUGGGGGAAACCCUGAUCUAGCCAUGCCGCGUGAGCGAUGAAGGCCUAGGGUUGUAAAGCUCUUUCAGCUGGGAAGAUAAUGACGGUACCAGCAGAAGAAGCCCCGGCUAACUCCGUGCCAGCAGCCGCGGUAAUACGGAGGGGGCUAGCGUUGUUCGGAAUUACUGGGCGUAAAGCGCGCGUAGGCGGACCAGAAAGUUGGAGGUGAAAUCCCAGGGCCCAACCUUGGAACUGCCUUCAAAACUCCUGGUCUGGAGUUCGAGAGAGGUGAGUGGAAUUCCGAGUGUAGAGGUGAAAUUCGUAGAUAUUCGGAGGAACACCAGUGGCGAAGGCGGCUCACUGGCUCGAUACUGACGCUGAGGUGCGAAAGCGUGGGGAGCAAACAGGAUUAGAAACCCUAUAGUCC
rnacentral:rRNA from 1 species